UACGUAGGAGGCGAGCGUUGUCCGGAAUCAUUGGGCGUACAGAGCGCGCAGGCGGCUUGGCAAGUCGGGUGUGAAAUCCCGGGGCUCAACCCCGGGACUGCAUUCGAUACGGGCAGACUAGAGUUCGGUAGGGGAGACUGGAAUUCCUGGUGUAGCGGUGAAAUGCGCAGAUAUCAGGAGGAACACCUAUGGCGAAGGCAGCUCGCUGGGACGUUACUGACGCUGAGACGCGAAAGCGUGGGGAGCAAACAGG
rnacentral:rRNA from 1 species